rnacentral:pre_miRNA from 1 species
AUGAUACUCCCUCUGUCUCAUAUUAAGUGACUUUCUAUUACAUGUAUCUAGACGUAUUUUAGUAUUUAGAUACAUCCAUAUUUAGAUAAACUCGAGUCACUUAAUAGGGGACGGAUGGAGUACAAC